rnacentral:misc_RNA from 1 species
GGAUCUUCUGAUAACAAAAGAGGUGUAUCCAGGUCAACAAACCAACAAGGAAAAUUUGUAACUGAACAAUAAAAAAGGAGAGUAUUUGUACUAAAAAUGUAAAUAACAAAUUUUUGUGAAUGCAAUAAAUGUCAACUCAUAAAAUAAAGAGCUAAUCAUGUAUGAUUGCCAUUUGCAUCACCAUAAAAUUAUAAAUUCACUGCCCUUACUUGAAACAUCCAAGGCCAGCAG